rfam:Gracilibacillus kekensis strain CGMCC 1.10681 genome assembly, contig: Ga0079828_101
UUCUUAUCCAGAGAGGUGGAGGGGCAGGCCCUUAGAAACCUCGGCAACAGGUUCGUUAUUGGAACACUGUGCCAAAUCCUGCGGGACAACAAAUGUUGUAACCCGAAAGAUAAGGA